rnacentral:rRNA from 1 species
UACGAAGGGGGCUAGCGUUGCUCGGAAUCACUGGGCGUAAAGCGCACGUAGGCGGCUUUUAAGUCAGGGGUGAAAUCCUGGAGCUCAACUCCAGAACUGCCUUUGAUACUGCAAAUCUCGAGUCCGGAAGAGGUGAGUGGAAUUCCUGGUGUAGCGGUGAAAUGCGCAGAUAUCAGGAGGAACACCAAUUGCGAAGGCAGCUCGCUGGGACGUUACUGACGCUGGAGACGCGAAAGCGUGGGGAGCAAACAGG